rnacentral:rRNA from 1 species
UACGGAGGGUGCAAGCGUUAUCCGGAUUUACUGGGUUUAAAGGGUGUGUAGGCGGGCUAUUAAGUCAGCGGUGAAAUCUCGGGGCUCAACCCCGAAACUGCCAUUGAUACUAUUAGUCUUGAAUACUGUGGAGGUAUGCGGAAUGUGUCAUGUAGCGGUGAAAUGCUUAGAGAUGACACAGAACACCGAUUGCGAAGGCAGCGUACUACACAGUGAUUGACGCUGAGGCACGAAAGCGUGGGGAUCAAACAGG